rnacentral:snRNA from 1 species
AUCUUUGCGCUUGGGGCAAUGACGCAGCUAGUGAGGUUCUAACCGAGGUGGUCUAUUGCUGGUUGAAAACUAUUUCCAGACCCCCUCUUCGGCCUGGGUUCAGCUUUGGCCGUUGAGAAUUUCUGGAAGAGUUCCCU